rnacentral:rRNA from 1 species
UGCGUAGGUGGUUUCUUAAGUCAGAGGUGAAAGGCUACGGCUCAACCGUAGUAAGCCUUUGAAACUGGGAAACUUGAGUGCAGGAGAGGAGAGUGGAAUUCCUAGUGUAGCGGUGAAAUGCGUAGAUAUUAGGAGGAACACCAGUUGCGAAGGCGGCUCUCUGGACUGUAACUGACACUGAGGCACGAAGGCGUGGGGAGCAAACA